rnacentral:rRNA from 1 species
ACAGCAGCAGCCGCGGUAACACGGAGGGGGCUAGCGUUGUUCGGAAUUACUGGGCGUAAAGCGCACGUAGGCGGCUUUGUAAGUCAGAGGUGAAAGCCCGGGGCUCAACCCCGGAAUUGCCUUUGAGACUGCAUCGCUUGAAUCCAGGAGAGGUAAGUGGAAUUCCGAGUGUAGAGGUGAAAUUCGUAGAUAUUCGGAAGAACACCAGUGGCGAAGGCGGCUCACUGGACUGGUAUUGACGCUGAGGUGCGAAAGCGUGGGGAGCAAACAGGAUUAGAUACCCGCGUAGUCCCUGUCUCUUAUAC